ACAACCAAACAACCAGCAAUCACAAUCCCCCCCCCCCCCCGCCCACACACACACACACACACAUCCUAUGAAACAAAAGAGUACUCAUCAAUAGUGAAACCCCUCCCUCCAGUGGCAUGAUGGGCAUCUCCUCUCUCUCUGGGCACUCACCCGCCUGAUCCCAGAGAAAGGCAACGACCUCAACCAAAAGGAAGGAGGGAGGUCGGUACCUAAGAGGACUCACGGUGCGAGUAGAAGGCUGUCCGUGUGUAUACAAGCUAGGAGCGCUCGUCUAAAAAGGCCCCAGUGGCGCUUGAAACUUCCAACCAGAAAAGCCUCAUCGUUUCAUUUUUGCAAAGACACCAAAUACAAGGCGGCACCUCCCUCACCUCCUUCCAGACGUAGGGCAGUCAAGCAUCUCAAGACGACCGAGACUUCAGCAUGCCCGGCGGAAGUUCCCUUUUUCUCAGCGCAGAGCUCUGGAAUCGCGGGAAACCGUGCUCUCGUGCCGCAGGCAAAUGGGGCAGCUCGCGCAGGUUUAAAUCUAGCACUCGCCACCACCUCAGGAGACCCUGCUUUGAGCGGGGUUGGAACCGAGGCUGCUACAGGUACAACGCACGUUGAGCACUAAAGAGCUAUGAGCCGGCUUGCAAAUGCCGUGCUUUAAGCGGUCCUAAAGGCCUUCAUGAUAUCUUGCUGCCUUGCCCCCCCCCCCCCCCCCGAGCUACAAGUCUAACACCCUUUUCGUUCUUUCCCGUUCUUUUUCCUUCCUUCUCCUUCAACUACGAUACAAGACCCAUUCUCAUCUCUCCGGGAUCUGGCCCCUUACGGCUGCCAGGCCGCCGAGGAGGUCUUGUUGACCCAGUACGCGCCUCCGCAGCUUCCCUGCCUCCUCUUUGCGGCUCCCUUUUCCCUCCACCUGCUGUGGGUCCCCGGCCCACGCCGACCCCCCACCCACCGCACUGAGCACGUACGCAGCGGAGCCGAGCUGAGCGCCGGAAGCUCGAGCCGGCGGGUGGCGCGCGGUUCGUCUUUCCCGUUGCUGCCGCUGCGGAUGCUGCUCAAUCAACUGGAUGGGUAAGUUUGAAAAACAAGUUUCCGCUUUGAAAAGCUUUUCACUAUUUCCAUUGUCGGGGUGCUUCAGUUCCUCAAGGGCCUAAAACCUAACAUUUAAAAAUAAUCAAACAAAAAACAAUAACAGAAUCUUAC
rnacentral:lncRNA from 1 species